ACUUAUAUUGAUUCUAUAUAAUGAAAUUUGCUCAUAAAUGGUUAUUACAUGUAAAUUUUUGUGUGUUAAAAUUUAUCUUAAGGAUAUUCUUGUUAAUUAUACGCAGUUAUUAAUUUUAUUGUUUAGAGGGAUCUAGAUUUAGCUAAUUUAUAGAGAACUGUUUAAAGUUGUGCCAGCAAACGCGGUUAUACAGUUGGUUCAAGUAAAUUUUCUUGAGUUUUAUUUAAUAGGUGAAUUAUUAAGGGGGUUGUUAUUAUAAAUAUUAAGUGAAAUUUUAUUUUUUUAUUACUUCAUGAAUAUGAUUGAAAUAAGAGACUCAUAAGUGAAACUAGGAUUAGAUACCCUAUUAUUUUGAGUGUAAAUUUUUUAUCUCAUAGUACUAUUAGUUAUGGUCUUAUAAAUUAAAAGAUUUUGGCGGUAAUUUAGUCCUUUCAGAGGAAUCUGUUCUUUAAUUGAUAGUCCACGAUGGAUUUUACUUUAAUUAUUUAUUUGUAUAUCUCUGUCAUAAGAAUAUUUUAUGAGAAUAUAUUCUUUUAAUAUUAUUUAUUUAAUGUCAGGUCAAGGUGCAGUUAUAUUGAAGUUUGUAAUGGGUUACUUUUAAUGUUAUUAUUGGAUUAGAUUAUGGAUUUAAUGGUUUAUGAAAUAGGAUUUGGGAGUAAAGUUUAGUAUCUUCUUUUCUUGAUAUUUGGCUCUGAAUUAUGCACACAUCGCCCGUCACUCUCAUUAUUAAGAUGAGAUAAGUCGUAACAAAGUAAUUCUAUUGGAAAAUGGAGUUGGAUAGAA
rnacentral:ncRNA from 1 species